rnacentral:rRNA from 1 species
UACAGAGGUCCCAAGCGUUGUUCGGAUUCACUGGGCGUAAAGGGUGCGUAGGCGGCGCGGUAAGUCGGAUGUGAAAUCUCGGAGCUUAACUCCGAAACUGCAUUCGAUACUGCCGUGCUUGAGGACUGGAGAGGAGACUGGAAUUUACGGUGUAGCGGUGAAAUGCGUAGAUAUCGUAAGGAAGACCAGUGGCGAAGGCGGGUCUCUGGACAGUUCCUGACGCUGAGGCACGAAGGCCAGGGGAGCAAACGGG